rnacentral:lncRNA from 1 species
CGGAGGCCUUGAACCUCUUUACCCCAGCAUCAUCAAGACCAUAUUUGCUAUCUAGGGUGUCCCAGAGUUCUUUGGCACUCUUGGCUGUGUAAUAGAUAUCAUACAGCCUCUCAGAAAGAGCACCUAGGAUUCUAUGGAUACAAUGAUAAUCUAUCUCAUCAGAUGUCCUAGAGGGUGUGCUAGUGGAGGCAGAAUGUUCAGUGUUGGAAGAGGUAGUUGGGUUGGACCCGUUAUCAACUUC